AGAGUUUGAUCCUGGCUCAGGAUGAACGCUAGCGACAGGCUUAACACAUGCAAGUCGAGGGGCAUCAUGAGGUAGCAAUACCUUGAUGGCGACCGGCGCACGGGUGAGUAACGCGUAUGCAACCUGCCCGAUACCGGGGUAUAGCCCAUGGAAACGUGGAUUAACACCCCAUAGUACUUUUAUCCUGCAUGGGAUAGGAGUUAAAUGUUCAAGGUAUCGGAUGGGCAUGCGUCCUAUUAGUUAGUUGGCGGGGUAACAGCCCACCAAGACGAUGAUAGGUAGGGGUUCUGAGAGGAAGGUCCCCCACAUUGGAACUGAGACACGGUCCAAACUCCUACGGGAGGCAGCAGUGAGGAAUAUUGGUCAAUGGACGAGAGUCUGAACCAGCCAAGUCGCGUGAGGGAAGACUGCCCUAUGGGUUGUAAACCUCUUUUAUAAGGGAAGAAUAAGUUCUACGUGUAGAAUGAUGCCUGUACCUUAUGAAUAAGCAUCGGCUAACUCCGUGCCAGCAGCCGCGGUAAUACGGAGGAUGCGAGCGUUAUCCGGAUUUAUUGGGUUUAAAGGGUGCGUAGGCGGUUUAUUAAGUUAGUGGUUAAAUAUUUGAGCUAAACUCAAUUGUGCCAUUAAUACUGGUAAACUGGAGUACAGACGAGGUAGGCGGAAUAAGUUAAGUAGCGGUGAAAUGCAUAGAUAUAACUUAGAACUCCGAUAGCGAAGGCAGCUUACCAGACUGUAACUGACGCUGAUGCACGAGAGCGUGGGUAGCGAACAGGAUUAGAUACCCUGGUAGUCCACGCCGUAAACGAUGCUCACUGGUUCUGUGCGAUAUAUUGUACGGGAUUAAGCGAAAGUAUUAAGUGAGCCACCUGGGGAGUACGUCGGCAACGAUGAAACUCAAAGGAAUUGACGGGGGCCCGCACAAGCGGAGGAACAUGUG
rnacentral:rRNA from 1 species